rnacentral:rRNA from 1 species
AUGAAGGGGCGGUUGGGAGCUCUGAAAGGUUCUACGACUGCUUGUGCAGAGAGCUCCUCUACACCCAAGAAUCCCAUUGUGGAAUUGAAAGACAGUGAUGAUGAUGCGUUUGACAAGAUUGCUGGCAUGAGAAGAGUCACUAAUAGCGCUGCUACCAAGAGUGUAUCUCCCCUUGCUGGAAUAGUGGCCCGUAGAGCUGGUGUUGCUAGGAAGGAUCGUAAUUUGAAUUCUGGCAAUGUUACAAGAACGAAGCGUGUACCGAGAGGUCCUAUAAAGUUUUGCUCCCCUGUGCAGCAACUUUUCCCUCAUAAAUUCCCUCACAUGGACAGGGCUCGCAAGUUGUACAAUCUAUUGCUUAGUGAUGAAGGACGUGAGAAGUAUGCCGAGGCUGCAUUCUCAAUGAUACCUUAG